rnacentral:rRNA from 1 species
AACGCUGGCGGCGUGCCUAAUACAUGCAAGUCGAACGGUCUUUCUAUGGAAGCUUGCUUCCACUGAGAAGAUAGUGGCGAACGGGUGAGUAACACGUGGGUAACCUGCCAUAAGAGGGGGAUAACAUCCGGAAACGGGUGCUAAUACCGCAUAGUUUUCUUGAUCGCAUGAUUGAGAAAGGAAAGACGGCCUUUGUGCUGUCGCUUAUGGAUGGACCCGCGGCGUAUUAGUUAGUUGGUGAGGUAACGGCUCACCAAGACGAUGAUACGUAGCCGACCUGAGAGGGUGAUCGGCCACAUUGGGACUGAGACACGGCCCAAACUCCUACGGGAGGCAGCAGUAGGGAAUCUUCCGCAAUGGACGAAAGUCUGACGGAGCAACGCCGCGUGAGUGAAGAAAGGUUUUCGGAUCGUAAAACUCUGUUGUCAGAGAAGAACAAGUUGGAGAGUAACUGCUCCAGCCUUGACGGUAUCUGACCAGAAAGCCACGGCUAACUACGUGCCAGCCGCCGC